UACGAAGGGGGCUAGCGUUGCUCGGGAAUCACUGGGCGUAAAGGGUGCGUAGGCGGGUCUUUUAAGUCAGGGGUGAAAUCCUGGAGCUCAACUCCAGAACUGCCUUUGAUACUGAGGAUCUUGAGUUCGGGAGAGGUGAGUGGAACUGCGAGUGUAGAGGUGAAAUUCGUAGAUAUUCGCAAGAACACCAGUGGCGAAGGCGGCUCACUGGCCCGAUACUGACGCUGAGGCACGGAAAGCGUGGGGAGCAAACAGG
rnacentral:rRNA from 1 species